rnacentral:rRNA from 1 species
GAGUUUGAUCUUGGUCAGGAUGAACGCUGGCGGCGUGCCUAAUACAUGCAAGUCGAACGGAAAGGCUCUCACUCUGUACUUUAGAAUCUAGAGUAUGGUGUGAGAGUACUCGAGUGGCGGACGGCUGAGUAACGCGUAGGAACGUACCCCAAACUGAGGGAUAACUGCUCGAAAGAGUAGCUAAUACCGCAUGUGCUCUACGGAGUAAAGCUUCGGCGGUUUGGGAACGGCCUGCGUAUGAUUAGCUUGUUGGUGAGGUAAUGGCUCACCAAGGCGACGAUCAUUAGCUGGUCUGAGAGGAUGAUCAGCCAGACUGGGACUGAGACACGGCCCAGACUCCUACGGGAGGCAGCAGUAGGGAAUUUUCCACAAUGGGCGAAAGCCUGAUGGAGCAACGCCGCGUGCAGGAUGAAGGCUUUCGGGUCGUAAACUGCUUUUAUAUGUGACGAUUUUGACGGUAGCAUAUGAAUAAGGAUCGGCUAACUCCGUGCCAGCCGCC